rnacentral:rRNA from 1 species
AGAGUUUGAUCCUGGCUCAGGACGAACGCUGGCGGCGCGCUUAACACAUGCAAGUCGAGCGAUGAAAUUUUGACAGAUCCCUUCGGGGUGAAGAUAAAAUGGAUUAGCGGCGGACGGGUGAGUAACACGUGAGUAACCUGCCUUAGACAUUGGGAUAGCCUCGGGAAACCGGGAUUAAUACCGAAUAAAAUCACAGAUACACAUGUAUCCAUGAUCAAAACUCCGGUGGUCUAAGAUGGACUCGCGUCCCAUUAGCUAGUUGGUGAGGUAACGGCCCACCAAGGCGACGAUGGGUAGCCGGCCUGAGAGGGUGAACGGCCACAUUGGAACUGAGAAACGGUCCAAACUCCUACGGGAGGCAGCAGUGGGGAAUAUUGCACAAUGGAGGGAACUCUGAUGCAGCGACGCCGCGUGAACGAAGAAGGCUUUCGAGUCGUAAAGUUCUUUUAUAUGGGAAGAUAAUGACGGUACCAUAAGAAAAAGCCCCGGCUAACUACGUGCCAGCAGCCGCGGUAAUACGUAGGGGGCUAGCGUUGUCCGGAAUCACUGGGCGUAAAGGGUUCGCAGGCGGAAAUGCAAGUCAGAUGUAAAAGGCAGUAGCUUAACUACUGUAAGCAUUUGAAACUGCAUAUCUUGAGAAGAGUAGAGGUAAGUGGAAUUUUUAGUGUAGCGGUGAAAUGCGUAGAUAUUAAAAAGAAUACCGGUGGCGAAGGCGACUUACUGGGCUCAUUCUGACGCUGAGGAACGAAAGCGUGGGUAGCAAACAGGAUUAGAUACCCUGGUAGUCCACGCU